rnacentral:rRNA from 1 species
UACGGGGGGAGCAAGCGUUGCUCGGAAUCACUGGGCGUAAAGCGCACGUAGGCGGAUCUUUAAGUCGGGGGUGAAAUCCUGGAGCUCAACUCCAGAACUGCCUUCGAUACUGAGGACCUUGAGUCCGGGAGAGGUGAGUGGAACUGCGAGUGUAGAGGUGAAAUUCGUAGAUAUUCGCAAGAACACCAGUGGCGAAGGCGGCUCACUGGCCCGGUACUGACGCUGAGACGCGAAAGCGUGGGGAGCGAACAGG